GAAUUUGAUCUGGGCUCGAUUGACGCUGGCGGCAGGCCUAACACAUGCAAGUCGAGCGGCAGCGGGAAAGUAGCUUGCUACUUUUGCCGGCGAGCGGCGGACGGGUGAGUAAUGCCUGGGAAAUUGCCCAGUCGAGGGGGAUAACAGUUGGAAACGACUGCUAAUACCGCAUACGCCCUACGGGGGAAAGCAGGGGACCUUCGGGCCUUGCGCGAUUGGAUAUGCCCAGGUGGGAUUAGCUAGUUGGUGAGGUAAUGGCUCACCAAGGCGACGAUCCCUAGCUGGUCUGAGAGGAUGAUCAGCCACACUGGAACUGAGACACGGUCCAGACUCCUACGGGAGGCAGCAGUGGGGAAUAUUGCACAAUGGGGGAAACCCUGAUGCAGCCAUGCCGCGUGUGUGAAGAAGGCCUUCGGGUUGUAAAGCACUUUCAGCGAGGAGGAAAGGUCAGUAGCUAAUAUCUGCUGGCUGUGACGUUACUCGCAGAAGAAGCACCGGCUAACUCCGUGCCAGCCGCCGCGGUAAU
rnacentral:rRNA from 1 species